GACGUAGGGGGCAAGCGUUGUCCGGAAUCAUUGGGCGUAAAGCGCGUGUAGGCGGCCCGGUAAGUCCGCUGUGAAAGUCGGGGGCUCAACCCUCGAAUGCCGGUGGAUACUGUCGGGCUAGAGUGCGGAAGAGGCGAGUGGAAUUCCUGGUGUAGCGGUGAAAUGCGCAGAUAUCAGGAGGAACACCAAUUGCGAAGGCAGCUCGCUGGGACGUGACUGACGCUGAGACGCGAAAGCGUGGGGAGCAAACAGG
rnacentral:rRNA from 1 species